CUUGCUAGAAGAUGACGAGCGGCGGACGGGUGAGUAAUACUUAGGAAUCUACCUAGUAGUGGGGGAUAGCUCGGGGAAACUCGAAUUAAUACCGCAUACGACCUACGGGAGAAAGGGGGCAACUUGUUGCUCUCGCUAUUAGAUGAGCCUAAGUCGGAUUAGCUAGAUGGUGGGGUAAAGGCCUACCAUGGCGACGAUCUGUAGCUGGUCUGAGAGGAUGAUCAGCCACACCGGGACUGAGACACGGCCCGGACUCCUACGGGAGGCAGCAGUGGGGAAUAUUGGACAAUGGGGGAAACCCUGAUCCAGCCAUGCCGCGUGUGUGAAGAAGGCCUUUUGGUUGUAAAGCACUUUAAGCAGUGAAGAAGACUCUUCGGUUAAUACCCGGAGACGAUGACAUUAGCUGCAGAAUAAGCACCGGCUAACUCUGUGCCAGCAGCCGCGGUAAUACAGAGGGUGCAAGCGUUAAUCGGAAUUACUGGGCGUAAAGCGAGCGUAGGUGGCUUGAUAAGUCAGAUGUGAAAUCCCCGGGCUUAACCUGGGAACUGCAUCUGAUACUGUCAGGCUAGAGUAGGUGAGAGGAAGGUAGAAUUCCAGGUGUAGCGGUGAAAUGCGUAGAGAUCUGGAGGAAUACCGAUGGCGAAGGCAGCCUUCUGGCAUCAUACUGACACUGAGGCUCGAAAGCGUGGGUAGCAAACAGGAUUAGAUACCCUGGUAGUCCACGCCGUAAACGAUGUCUACUAGUCGUUGGGUCCCUUGAGGACUUAGUGACGCAGCUAACGCAAUAAGUAGACCGCCUGGGG
rnacentral:rRNA from 1 species